GACGAACGCUGGCGGCGCGCCUAACACAUGCAAGUCGAACGAGCGAGAGAGAGCUUGCUUUCUCGAGCGAGUGGCGAACGGGUGAGUAACGCGUGAGGAACCUGCCUCAAAGAGGGGGACAACAGUUGGAAACGACUGCUAAUACCGCAUAAGCCCACGGCUCGGCAUCGAGCAGGGGGAAAAGGAGCAAUCCGCUUUGAGAUGGCCUCGCGUCCGAUUAGCUAGUUGGUGAGGUAACGGCCCACCAAGGCGACGAUCGGUAGCCGGACUGAGAGGUUGAACGGCCACAUUGGGACUGAGACACGGCCCAGACUCCUACGGGAGGCAGCAGUGGGGAAUAUUGCACAAUGGGGGAAACGCUGAUGCAGCGACGCCGCGUGGAGGAAGAAGGGCUUCGGAUGGUAAACUCCUGUUGUUGGGGAAGAUAAUGACGGUACCCAACAAGGAAGUGACGGCUAACUACGU
rnacentral:rRNA from 1 species